rnacentral:tRNA from 1 species
GCCAACGUAGCGCAGUCGGUAGCGCAACUGAUUCGUAAUCAGUAGGUCACGAGUUCGAGUCUCGUCGUUGGCU